rnacentral:rRNA from 1 species
UACGUAGGGCGCAAGCGUUAUCCGGAAUUAUUGGGCGUAAAGAGCUCGUAGGCGGCUUGUUGCGUCGGCUGUGAAAACCCAUGGCUCAACCGUGGGCUUGCAGCCGAUACGGGCAGGCUAGAGUUCGGUAGGGGAGACUGGAAUUCCUGGUGUAGCGGUGAAAUGCGCAGAUAUCAGGAGGAACACCGGUGGCGAAGGCGGGUCUCUGGGCCGAUACUGACGCUGAGGAGCGAAAGCGUGGGGAGCGAACAGG